rnacentral:rRNA from 1 species
AGAGUUUGAUCCUGGCUCAGAUUGAACGCUGGCGGCAUGCUUUACACAUGCAAGUCGAACGGCAGCACGGAGAGCUUGCUCUCUGGUGGCGAGUGGCGAACGGGUGAGUAAUGCAUCGGAACGUACCGAGUAAUGGGGGAUAACUGUCCGAAAGGAUGGCUAAUACCGCAUACGCCCUGAGGGGGAAAGCGGGGGAUCUUAGGACCUCGCGUUAUUUGAGCGGCCGAUGUUGGAUUAGCUAGUUGGUGGGGUAAAGGCCUACCAAGGCGACGAUCCAUAGCGGGUCUGAGAGGAUGAUCCGCCACAUUGGGACUGAGACACGGCCCAAACUCCUACGGGAGGCAGCAGUGGGGAAUUUUGGACAAUGGGGGGAACCCUGAUCCAGCCAUGCCGCGUGUCUGAAGAAGGCCUUCGGGUUGUAAAGGACUUUUGUUAGGGAAGAAAAGCCGGGUGCUAAUACCACCUGGUGCUGACGGUACCUAAAGAAUAAGCACCGGCUAACUACGUGCCAGCAGCCGCGGUAAUACGUAGGGUGCGAGCGUUAAUCGGAAUUACUGGGCGUAAAGCGAGCGCAGACGGUUAGAUAAGUCAGAUGUGAAAUCCCCGAGCUCAACUUGGGACGUGCAUUUGAAACUGUCUAACUAGAGUGUGUCAGAGGGAGGUAGAAUUCCACGUGUAGCAGUGAAAUGCGUAGAGAUGUGGAGGAAUACCGAUGGCGAAGGCAGCCUCCUGGGAUAACACUGACGUUCAUGCUCGAAAGCGUGGGUAGCAAACAGGAUUAGAUACCCUGGUAGUCCACGCCCUAAACGAUGACAAUUAGCUGUUGGGGCACUAGAUGUCUUAGUAGCGAAGCUAACGCGAGAAAUUGUCCGCCUGGGGAGUACGGUCGCAAGAUUAAAACUCAAAGGAAUUGACGG